AUCUAAGGUUUCCAGAGUAAAGCUGAUCUGCUCUGGGUAAGUCGGGGCCUAAGGCGAGGUCGAAAGACGUAGUCGAUGGAUAACAGGUAAAGAUUCCUGUACUAUAUCAUAACAGAACUGUGGGGACGCAGACAGAGAGCAUAAGCCGGGAAUGGAAAAACCGGUACAAGCGAGGUAGGAGUGCAUCAGGCAAAUCCGGUGCACAAUCUGAAGACGUGAUGUGGGGCGUAAAGCCGGAAGUAUGUGAGCUGGCUGCCAAGAAAAGCCGCUAUUGUUUAUGAUAUACCCGUACCGUAAACCGACACAGGUGGAUGAGGAGAGAAUCCUAAGGCCGACGGGAGAAGCAUUGUUAAGGAACUCGGCAAAAUGACUCCGUAACUUCGGGAGAAGGAGUGCCAUGUAAAAGUGGCCGCAGAGAAUUGGCCCAAGCAACUGUUUAGCAAAAACACAGGUCUAUGCAAAACCGAAAGGUGAGGUAUAUGGGCUGACGCCUGCCCGGUGCUGGAAGGUUAAGAGGAGAGGUUAGAGCAAGCGAAGCUUUGAAUUGAAGCCCCAGUAAACGGCGGCCGUAACUAUAACGGUCCUAAGGUAGCGAAAUUCCUUGUCGGGUAAGUUCCGACCCGCACGAAAGGCGUAAUGAUUUGGGCACUGUCUCAACAAUGCACCCGGUGAAAUUGAAAUACCAGUGAAGAUGCUGGUUACCUGCGCCAGGACGGAAAGACCCCAUGGAGCUUUACUCCAGCUUGAUACUGGGAUUCGGUAUUGCAUGUACAGGAUAGGUGGGAGACUGAGAACUGAUGACGCCAGUUGUCAGGGAGUCACUGUUGGGAUACCACCCUUGUAGUAUUGGAUUUCUAACCAGCAGCCGUGAACCGGCUGGGGGACAAUGUCAGGUGGGGAGUUUGACUGGGGCGGUCGCCUCCGAAAGGGUAUCGGAGGCGCUCAAAGGUUCCCUCAGAAUGGUUGGAAACCAUUCGAAGAGUGCAAAGGCAGAAGGGAGCUUGACUGCGACACCGACGGGUGGAGCAGGUACGAAAGUAGGACUUAGUGAUCCGGUGGUAUAAAGUGGGAUUGCCAUCGCUCAACGGAUAAAAGCUACCCUGGGGAUAACAGGCUUAUCACUCCCAAGAGUUCACAUCGACGGAGUGGUUUGGCACCUCGAUGUCGGCUCAUCGCAUCCUGGGGCUGAAGUAGGUCCCAAGGGUUGGGCUGUUCGCCCAUUAAAGCGGUACGCGAGCUGGGUUCAGAACGUCGUGAGACAGUUCGGUCCCUAUCCGGCGUGGGCGUAGGAUAUUUGAGAGGAGCUGCCCUUAGUACGAGAGGACCGGGGUGGACUGGCCGCUGGUGGAUCUGUUGUAUUACCAAAUGCAUAGCAGAGUAGCCAAGCCGGGACGGGAUAAACGCUGAAGGCAUCUAAGCGUGAAGCCCCCCUCAAGAUGAGAUAUCCCAUUCGAAAGAAGUAAGACCCCUUGAAGACGACGAGGUAGAUAGGGCAGAGGUGGAAGUGCAGCAAUGUACGGAGCUGACUGUCACUAAUCGGUCGAGGGCUUAUCCAG
rnacentral:rRNA from 1 species